rnacentral:rRNA from 1 species
CUUGGUCAUUUAGAGGAAGUAAAAGUCGUAACAAGGUUUCCGUAGGUGAACCUGCGGAAGGAUCAUUAUCGAAAUUAUUGGUGAGGGUUGUAGCUGGCCUUUCGAGGCAUGUGCACGCUCGAGCCCUUAAUCCACUUUACACCUGUGCACUUAAUGUAGGUCGCCCUUAAAAAAGGUGACCUAUGUCUUAUCAUCAACCCAUCGUAUGUCUCAUAGAAUGUAAUCGAUAUCCUCGCCCUAAAAAAGCGUUGAUAAACUUAUACAACUUUCAACAACGGAUCUCUUGGCUCUCGCAUCGAUGAAGAACGCAGCGAAAUGCGAUAAGUAAUGUGAAUUGCAGAUUUUCAGUGAAUCAUCGAAUCUUUGAACGCACCUUGCGCUCCUUGGUAUUCCGAGGAGCAUGCCUGUUUGAGUGUCAUUAAAUUCUCAACUCCAAGGGUUUCACGACCUUUCGGAGAUUGGACUUGGAGGUGCUGGCCGCAUAUUGGUCGGCUCCUCUCAAAUGCAUCAGCGGAAUUCAACCUUUGGCUUCCGGAUGUCAGUGUGAUAAUCAUGUUGCGCUGUCGUUUGAUCCCUCAGAGUCCGCUUAUAAUGGUCUUCGGACAAAAUCAUCAUCAAAUUUGACCUCAAAUCAGGUAGGACUACCCGCUGAACUUAAGCAUAUCAAUAAGCGGAGG